CACGGAUCAUGAUCCCCACAGCUAUCCUACAAUCCCUACUUUUGUACAGCUUUUGUGACAUUUGAAUUUUGAAACAGGGGUACAACAUCGAUUUGAGGAUUUGGCUCCAUCUUCUCUCUUUCUCAUGUAUACUGAACGGGUCCAUCUUUUCUCUCUUUCUCAGAACACCACCGAUUUGAAGAUUAAAUCUGGGAGAUAUAACGUCGAAUAAGUUCGUUCUUCCGAUUCAACAACCAUCAGUUUAUAGGGAAUCAAGUCUGCAAAGAUCGGUGGCUACAGAGAAGAGUUCCUGGCUAUAGAUGGUGAUUGAGGUAGGUUCCGACAGACAAACGGAGGUACGUCCGACGACCUCCUUUUAAUUUGUUUAGGUCACACACUUUAGUUUUUGAAUCUGAUGUUUGUGUUUGUUUUAAACUUGCAGAUCUAGGGUUUUACUUUAAUUUUUGGAUUUUAUUUAACUACAAUUCGUGAACCAAAUGGGAUAAAUGCGGUUAGUUUAAUGAGCAGGGUGCUCAGAAAUAUAUUCAAGUUAAAGGGGUGUACUUAUAAAAGUUUUUAUUGUGAUUUUCGAACCAUUAUAUGGGAUUCUUAUGCAAAUAAUUGCAGAUGUAGGCUUAAGUAAUGGUAGAGAUUUCCCACUAGCGCACUCUUUUUAACUUUGAUGAUGGGGUAUCGACAUAUUGAUUGUGCCCCAAGUGUAUGGCAACGAGAAGGAGGUAUAAAGUUUCUUGCUUCUGUACACCAUAAUUUUUCUGUAUUAUUCUGUUUGAAUGAUGAAGAUGUUUCUGUAAAUUGUAUUUGAUAAUUGGAUGAAAAUGAUUUU